AGGAAUAUUGGUCAAUGGACGCGAGUCUGAACCAGCCAAGUAGCGUGAAGGAUGACUGCCCUAUGGGUUGUAAACUUCUUUUAUAUGGGAAUAAAGUGGUCCACGUGUGGACUUUUGUAUGUACCAUAUGAAUAAGGAUCGGCUAACUCCGUGCCAGCAGCCGCGGUAAUACGGAGGAUCCGAGCGUUAUCCGGAUUUAUUGGGUUUAAAGGGAGCGUAGGCGGAUUGUUAAGUCAGUUGUGAAAGUUUGCGGCUCAACCGUAAAAUUGCAGUUGAUACUGGCAGUCUUGAGUGCAGUAGAGGUGGGCGGAAUUCGUGGUGUAGCGGUGAAAUGCUUAGAUAUCACGAAGAACUCCGAUUGCGAAGGCAGCUCACUGGAGUGUAACUGACGCUGAUGCUCGAAAGUGUGGGUAUCAAACAGGAUUAGAUACCCUGGUAGUCCACACAGUAAACGAUGAAUACUCGCUGUUUGCGAUAUACAGUAAGCGGCCAAGCGAAAGCAUUAAGUAUUCCACCUGGGGAGUACGCCGGCAACGGUGAAACUCAAAGGAAUUGACGGGGGCCCGCACAAGCGGAGGAACAUGUGGUUUAAUUCGAUGAUACGCGAGGAACCUUACCCGGGCUUGAAUUGCAGACGAAUUGCUUGGAAACAGGCAAGCCGCAAGGCGUCUGUGAAGGUGCUGCAUGGUUGUCGUCAGCUCGUGCCGUGAGGUGUCGGCUUAAGUGCCAUAACGAGCGCAACCCUCGUGUCCAGUUACUAGCAGGUUAUGCUGAGGACUCUGGACAGACUGCCAUCGUAAGAUGUGAGGAAGGUGGGGAUGACGUCAAAUCAGCACGGCCCUUACGUCCGGGGCUACACACGUGUUACAAUGGGGGGUACAGCAGGCAGCUACCGGGCGACCGGAUGCCAAUCCCGAAAGCCUCUCUCAGUUCGGACUGGAGUCUGCAACCCGACUCCACGAAGCUGGAUUCGCUAGUAAUCGCGCAUCAGCCACGGCGCGGUGAAUACGUUCCCG
rnacentral:rRNA from 1 species